UACGAAGGGGGCUAGCGGUGUUCGGAUUUACUGGGCGAAAAGCGCGAGUAGGCGGGUCGUUAAGUUGGGGGUGAAAUCCCGAGGCUCAACCUCGGAACUGCCUUCAAAACUGGCGACCUGGACUCAAGCAGAGGCAAGUGGAAUUGCGAGUGUAGAGGUGAAAUUCGUAGAUAUUCGCAGGAACACCAGUGGCGAGGGCGACUUGCUGGGCUUGUAGUGACGCCGGGACGCGACAGCGUGGGGAGCAAACAGG
rnacentral:rRNA from 1 species